GUGUUCAGUCUCGAGGAUCUGCAGAGAGAGAGAGAGAGACAGCGAUUAACUGGAUUCCAGUGGACGCUCUGUGAUCAUUUGGAAUAUAAAGGAUCAUGAUGGAGAGGGAAUAAAAGUCCUCUAAGAAUCUAAAAAGGAAUUCUGGAAAAAGAAGCGUUACCAUUGGGAUACGUGGAGGUUGAACUUGAUCUUCAGCUUUCAUGUCCAGCAGCUCAGAUGUCAGGAGAAAAUGACGACUGCUAUAUUCAUCACUACAUCCAACAACAGAACACCUCAAUCGCUUAAUCCGAGACAUCUUGUCUUCCCUGCACCGGAGUCGGACAGCUCUCAUCUCACUCAGGGCAGUAUACUUGAAUACAGGGCACCACCUAGUGGUAAGAACCAGCAUACAUCACAACCUGAAGUUACUAUUUUUUGGCAAGAAUAUUGUUCCAGGACCAACAAAAAGGUAAAAUCACUGUCAUGCCUUACUUUACAAAUGUGACCCUGGAGCACAAAACCUGUCUUAAGUCGCUGGGGUAUAUUUGUAGCAAUAACCAAAAAUACAUUGUAUGGGUCAAAAUUAUAGAUUUUUCUUUUAUGCCAAAAAUCACUAGGAUAUUAAAUAAAGGUCAUGUUCCAUGAAGAUAUUUUGUAAAUUUCUUACCGUAAAUAUAUCAAAAGUUAAUUUUUGAUUAGUUGUAUGCAUUGCUAAGAACUUCAUUUGGACAACUUUAAAGGUGAUUUUCUCAAUAUUUUAAUUUUUUUGCACCCUCAGAUUCCAGAUUUUUAAAUAGUUGUAUCUCUAAUACAAUUCUAAUGCAAAGCUUAUUUAUUCAGCUUUCAGAUGAUGUAUAAAUCUCAAUUUUGAAAAAUUGAUACUUAAGACUGUUUUGGUGGUCCAGGGUCACAAAUUAGGCUAUAAUAAGUAAUUGUGUUUAAAACAUGCAGUACCGCCGCUCCCUAUAUGCAGAGUACGCAUGCAGUUUGCAUAGGGAACCAACUCCAAAAGGGGGCACCAUCCCAGUUGCUAAAAAAAAAAAAAAAAAAAACUUGAUGCGCUAUUCCCACAUCCGCAUCCACGACCGCAAAUUAUCAUAACUGAUGGACAACUAUGCCCGUGAAAAGACAACGCCAAGAAAAAAAGAUGAAAACGAAGCCCUGCGUCACUUUCAGGUAGGCUGCAUUCAUUAUCCUGUGGAACUUUUUUGGGUGUUAAUAAGUUUUACACUGCGUUCCAAAUUAUUAUGCAAGUGAUAUAUCAGUAGGAUUUUGGUACAAUAAAGAGUCAGAUUUUUGUUUGUGUUGUUUUUCACAUCUUUUUAGUUAACUGGUAUCAAUCUCAGACAGGUUUGUUCAAUAGUUUGCCAGUUAUUCUGAGGUGAAUGGAAACCCUACUUAAAGAGGUUGUUCCACAUUAUUAAGCAAGUCACAGUUCUCAUGAAAUAUGGUGAGGAAAAAAUAUCUUUCUGAAGAUAAAAAAUGUAUGAAACAAUGCAAUGUCUUGCAAAAGGCAUCAAAACUAACAAUAUUUCACGAAAAGCAAAUAGAAAUUCGAACUGACUUAUUAUAGCCUAAUAAAUGUCGGUAAUAAUUUCACCACCACCAACGCAUCUAAUAUUCUCUCCGAGUUUCCAUGUUCACUUACGAAAGUUAGCCAUGGUUUUAACAGUAAUAAAUAAAUAAAUAACAUGGUUUUUGUAGCCAUGGUAACCGCAAAUUAACCAAGGUUUUGUUCCUUCAAACAAUAAUUUACAAAGAAGUAUUAAGAUAAUAUUUUUGUGGUUAUAAAAACAAACCUAAGCCAACAACAGCCUUUAAAAUGACUUAAUAUAUACAUUAUAUAAAAACAAUGAGGCAACCCUGCUGAAAAAAAAACAACAGAACCAUCACAGAAAAUUCUAAUACCAUCACAAAUGAAUCACAAACAAAUCACAAAUACCAUUACAAAAAUUACAAACCAUCAACUUUUAACCAUUAAAAAAAUGGCUUUCUGUAGUGGGGCAGACCUGACCUGUUAAUACAGACAAAAUCUGUAUUAACUUCUUAACUCUUCUCUCUAGAAACAUGGCACAUAGUCUCAGAGUUUGUAUACUUGACUAACUGGGGCCCAGGUCAGGAAGCAGACAGACUGGCUAAACCGACCGUCUGCUAGCCGCCUCACGUCACAGAAGUCAGUUAAUUCAGCACAUAGAAGACAAACAAAUGAUAAAACUUGGCUUACUGAAUAUCAGGUCCCUUUCUACGAAAGCGCUUUUUCUAAAUGAUAUGAUCACUGAUCAUAACCUAGAUGUGCUUUGUUUGACAGAAACCUGGCUAAAACCAGAUGAAUACAUUAUUUUAAAUGAGUCUAUCCCUCAAGAUUACUGUUGAAAAAUGAACCGUGUCCAAAAGGCAAAGGGGGAGGUGUUGCUACAAUUUAUAGCAAUAUUCUCAGUAUUUCUCAAAGGGCAGGCUUUAAGUAUAACUUCUUUGAAGUAAUGGUGCUUCAUAUAACAUUAUCUAGAGAAACAAGUGUUAAUGAUAAAUCCCCUUUGAUAUUUGUACUGGCUACUGUAUACAGGCCACCAGGGCACCAUGCAGACUUUAUUAAAGAAUUUGCUGAUUUUCUAUCAGAGUUAGUGCUGGCUGCAGAUAAAGUCUUAAAUGUUGGUGAUUUUAAUAUCCAUGUUGAUAAUGAAAAAGAUGCAUUAGGAUCAGCAUUCAUAGACAUUCUGAACUCUAUUGGUGUUAAACAACACGUGUCAGGACCUACUCAUUGUUGAAAUCAUACUCUAGAUUUAAUAGUCACAUGGAAUUGAUGUUAAUGAUAUUGAAAUUCUGCAGCAAAGUGAUGAUAUCUCAGAUCAUUAUCUAGCCUUGUGUAAACUCCAUAUAGCUAUAAACUAUAAAUUCUACUCCUUGUUACAAAUAUGGUAGAACCAUCACUUCUACCACAAAAGACUGCUUUGUAAAUAAUCUUUCUGAUUUAUCUCAGUUCCUCAGCAUAUCCAACAGCACAGAAAAACUUGAUGAUGUAACAGAAACUAUAGACUCUCUCUUUUCUAGCACUUUAGAUACGGUUGCUCCUUUAGUCGAUAUAAAAAACUGGAUGACGAGUAAUUUCUUAAUGCUAAAUUCUGAAAAAACAGAGGUGUUAAUUAUCGGACCUAAAACCCCCACAUGUAAUAACUUAGAACACUUGUCAAACAAAACUCUGGCCAUUCCAUAAUACCUAGAAUAUCAAAAUCAACUGUGGGCGGCAGAUCCUUUUCCUAUUUAGCACCCAAACUCUGGAACAAUCUACCUAACACUGUUCGGGAGGCAGACACACUCUGUCAGUUUAAAUCUAGAUUAAAGACCCAUCUCUUUAUCCUGGCGUACACAUAACACACUAAUACGCUUCUAUUAUUCAAAUCCGUUAAAGGAUUGUUAGGCUGCAUUAAUUAGGUGAACCAGAACCGGAAACACUUCCCAUAACACCCGAUGUACUUGUUACAUCGUAAGAAGAAUGGCAUCUACACUAACAUUAGUCUGUUUCUUUCUUAUUCCGAGAUCACCGUAGCCACCCGAUACAGUCCGUAUCCAGAUCAGAUGGUCACUGCAGUCACCCGGAUCCAGUCUGAAUCCAGAUCAGACAGUGGAUCAGCACCUAGAGAUGACCUCUACAGCCCUGAACAUCAGCGGAGAUCAGGACACCUAGAUGAACCCCAGAGACAGAUCCCCAGUGAAGACCUUGUCACCCAGUCAGCCAUCGUGACAAGACCUCAGGAACCAGAUGAGUCCUCUACACAAUCUGACUAUCUGGUCCUAUUGUUUUUUUCAGCAGGGCCUGCUUAGGGCACCCAUUUGGCCAGCAGCGGCCCUGAAAACAUGUAAACUAAACUGGGCAUUACUGGAAAGAAGUGUUUCACUGCCAUCUUGUGGUUGCUUUACAGAACUCUUGUAAUGUUCCGUUCAAACAAACAGAAGAUCCUAUUCUGUAUGAAAAAACGGCACACCAAACCUUUUCAGAAGUCUUCCAUAAUUCACGUUAUACAUAUAUUGUACAGUAACGUGACAAAGAAAGAAAGAAACGGUUAUUGUGGUAAAAGUAAUUUGAAAGUCUAUUACCCAGCAGCUGUUUCAGGAAGGGAGAGUCCUCUGUGGAUAGAUUUGAGGGGAAACCACCAAAAGCAGAAAAUCUCCCUAAACUUGGCAUAAAGUUUUGGCAAAAAUUUGGCAAAGAUGGUGUAUUUUCCCAACGCUGGUCUUGUCCAGACCUUCAAUAAUAGCGAUCUGACUCUCUAAGUUAAUGUAUACAUCGACUUUUUUCGCUAAUUUUCGUGGCGGAGUUACAUCUCGCGGAGUCCAAAUCGUCUUUUCACGCCCAAAGUUACUUAAAUAUUAUCUUAAAGAGGUUUUACACAAAAAGUAUUACAUUUCUCAGACUUACCUGUUAAAA